rnacentral:lncRNA from 1 species
UUUUGCAUCCCAGCUCUGCCUCUUAUAACUUUGAGAUCUGGGGCAUGUUGCUUAUUCUCUUUGAGUCUAUACCUUCUCCUCUGUAAACAGGGUUAACAGGAGCAUCUUCAAAGGCUGCCUUGGGAAUUAAGACAGCUCACCCCUCCAUGCCCAGCACAGUGGCUGCUGCUCUCAAUGAACACACAAUUCCUCUGUCAGAUAUUUUCUUUUCAGAUUCCAGUUUGAAUUCAACAGAAGCAAUACUUUCUACCUCUUCGACCACACUGAUAUUACCGUUACAUAUCCUGGGGAAAGUGAAACAAAUUGGGCUAUUGCAAGUUUGGUUACUGCUUGACUUGAUCUCAAAAGGUCCGUAUUAUAAAGGAUGUUCGAAUUGUUGA